CUACGGGAGGCAGCAGUGGGGAAUCUUGCGCAAUGCGCGAAAGCGUGACGCAGCAACACCGCGUGAGGGAAGACGGCCUUAGGGUUGUAAACCUCUUUCAGAUGGGACGAAGGUUGUCCGGUGAAUAGCCGUGAUGAUUGACGGUACCGUCAGAAGAAGCUCCGGCUAACUACGUGCCAGCAGCCUCGGUAAUACGUAGGGAGCGAGCGUUGUCCGGAAUCAUUGGGCGUAAAGAGCGCGUAGGUGGAUCAAUUAGUCUGCUGUGAAAGUCGAAGGCUCAACCUUCGAAAGCCGGUGGAUACUGUUGAUCUAGAGUACGGAAGAGGCGAGUGGAAUUCCUGGUGUAGCGGUGGAAUGCGCAGAUAUCAGGAGGAACACCAAUAGCGAAGGCAGCUCGCUGGGACGUAACUGACACUGAGGCGCGAAAGCGUGGGGAGCAAACAGGAUUAGAUACCCGUGUAGUCC
rnacentral:rRNA from 1 species